AAAUUCUUUCGCAUCUAAUGGAACCCAAAUUCGUUCACAUCAAGAAUCAAAGCUCAAAAUUUGUACAGAUCAAACCAAACCCAAAAAUCAUUCCCAUCAAAUCGAAACCCAAAACAUGUUCGUAUCAAAUCAUAAGAAUCCCAUAACAUUUUUGUUUAUUGGGAAUUUGUAAUUAACAGCGUAGCUAUAUUAAUGGUGACGAGGGCAUAAAUGACAACAAAUGAACAAGUUAAUGGGAUUUGUGAAGAGAGAAAGAGACUUUGCUUCUCCCUAAGGCGAUAGGAUAUGAUAACGAACUCCGCUUUGACAAGUAACCUCUAUUCCAAAACAAUAAGGGAGAAGAAGAAAGUCCAACCAUCAUGCUGUCAACGUGAAACUUGAUCUUUAAUAAUUUUUGUUUAUGAAUUUUACGAAUAUUAGCUACUUCGCCCUAAAUUUCUAAUGAAAAUUAUCACAAAUUAUAAACCAACGAAAAAAAUCAUACAAAAUCAUACACAGAGAUGAAAAGAGUAUAAAUUGGGCGGUAGAUCUAUUCUUUCUUAUUCAAUCUAUCGCCGCCUCAAACGACCCAACCGCCACCUCUACCACACCAAACAUCAUCGUAGCCUUACGCAAAGCUUCGACCUUCGUCAACGGGGAAACAUGAGGCGACUCUCAGAUCUAUAUGUAUAUGUGUAUAUAUACUCUCAUAUAUAUAUAUAUAUAUAUAUUUACGUAUAUAGAGAGAUUGAAAAUUUUUGGAUUAAUUAUUUUUUUUUUGGAUUUCUCUAAUAUCUAUAUGUAUUAUGUAUGAUGAUUUAAUUAAAUGAAAUGGCUCGGAGAAUAAUGGUG
rnacentral:lncRNA from 1 species